ACACGAUUUGGGGCUUUUAACUUCAAAACAUGAUUUGGGGCUUUUAACUUCAAGUUUUAGGGGUUUUGGUUUUAAAACCCAACAUAUGGGAAUAAGCAUGGCUACUUUGUUUUUUGAUUAUUCCUGUUUUUUAUUAUUCCUAAUUAUUUCUGUUUUUGAUUAUUUCUAAUUAUUCAUGUUUUCAUAUUUUCAUAUUAUUCCUAUUUUAAAAUCCAACAUUCGGAUUUCAUAUUGUUCCUGUCAAACUUUGGAAUAUCAAUGAAGUAUGAUUUUUC
rnacentral:lncRNA from 1 species